rnacentral:rRNA from 1 species
UACGGAGGGUGCAAGCGUUGUCCGGAUUUAUUGGGUUUAAAGGGUGCGUAGGUGGCCUUGUAAGUCCGUGGUGAAAGCCUCUCGCUUAACGAGAGAACUGCCAUGGAUACUGCAAGGCUUGAGUCCAGACGAGGUUGGCGGAAUGGAUGGUGUAGCGGUGAAAUGCAUAGAUACCAUCCAGAACCCCGAUUGCGUAGGCAGCUGACUAGGCUGGUACUGACACUGAGGCACGAAAGCGUGGGGAUCAAACAGG